rnacentral:lncRNA from 1 species
CUCUAUACCCAAAGAUUAUUUCAGUAGGCUGGCACAUAGCUUUACUGACAGAUCAAAAGCUGUGCUUCCCACUCCUUCCUUUUCCACAUCUUCUUGCCACUACUCCUGCUUUGGCCAGGAAGCACACAAUUUGGUAUGAGUUGAGCCAAUUCAUCACUGACCAAAGAAAUAUUCUGAUUCUAAAGAGAAAGAUAAAUUUUGUUGUGGCUGAAUGUGUUAUCUGUCUGAAGGGAUGGGAGAAAAUGAUCAGACAGUGACUAGAAGCAGUUUACUGGACAGUAGCAGUUCAAUUUUUCCCCCGUUAAAUGGCAUGUAUAACUCAGAAAUGUGAUAUAUGGAGUAAUAACUCGCAUCAAGAUGGUUGAUGUUAAUAAAGAAGGGGGAGAUGUGGGAGCGUGGCCAUGGGGGUCGACAAGCCCCAUGGUUGGUGAUAACAUCAGACUCUUAACGAUGAGGCCACCAGGAAUGUGAAGAGUAGAGAGGGAACAAAGAAGGGUGAUUCCGGAGACGCCUUGCCGUCUCGGGUUGCUUGUUCUCCCUCCGUUAAGGCGUGGGAGUUGCUGGGCGGUUGCUGUUGCCGGGCGAGGUUGUUUGCAACGCGGGAAAAGGCGGCCCCGCAUGGGCUUGUGUCGAUCGCAUUUUGUUGCUGUCGGGAACCGUGGGGGGGGCAGAGCAUGCGCAGAAGAAGAGGGAGCCCGUCGAAGCCGCCCCUGCGGUGUGGACGAGAUAAUUACAAUAGGAAGCGGGGACAGAGGAAAGCAGGGAUAAAGAGAAGAUUUUCAAAAUACCUUCCCAGUGUGUUACCAGCAGAAAACAUCUGUUUUUCCACAUUGCAUUCUGCCUUACAGAAUGGAAGCAGGUCAGAACAAUUCCACCUGUCUUCAGGUUUACAAGGAGGGAUCUGCUUCCACCACUGUGCAAGAUGUAACAGUGAAAGCAACUGUCAAGAGACCUCAAGUCACUAUUCAGGAACCUUCGCACACCUUCGUGAGGAGAAAGAAAAGAAAGAAAGAAAAAAAAAAACAGGGAAGGGGACGUGGGGAGGCUGCUGGUGAGUGAUUGAUUUUACAAACAGACAUUUUGACACAGGAUGUUAGGUUCUGCAAACGUAUAGAGAAAAUAUUUGUUCCCUUAAAUAUUUAAAGCUUUUUAAUGUGUUCAUGUUUUGCUAG